AUCUUCAGGGAGAAAGAAAGGAAAGAAGAGGCAGUAACUAUCAGAAUGGAACCUCCUUCUCUUGAGUCCCAGCCUUUCUUCUCAGAGACAUCUGGGGAAACAAAUCAUUCCAGAAGAGUUUGGCACAACCACUGUAAGGCUUACUAACAGCACAUGGCAGUUAUUUUAAGGAGGAAGAAGAACCACGGUUACUCACAACAGUGUCUGGUGGGCUUUCCCCAUCAUUUGGAGCAUCUGUGUCUUCUCUCUGCCAGGUCCAAUGGUGUAUGCUCAAGAAAUAAAGUCUAAUUUUAAUACUGAUGCAACAAAACCUCAACUCAAAGA